rnacentral:rRNA from 1 species
AGAGUUUGAUCAUGGCUCAGAUUGAACGCUGGCGGCAUGCCUUACACAUGCAAGUCGAACGGCAGCAUGAUCUAGCUUGCUAGAUUGAUGGCGAGUGGCGAACGGGUGAGUAAUAUAUCGGAACGUGCCCUGUAGUGGGGGAUAACUAGUCGAAAGAUUAGCUAAUACCGCAUACGACCUGAGGGUGAAAGUGGGGGACCGCAAGGCCUCAUGCUAUAGGAGCGGCCGAUGUCUGAUUAGCUAGUUGGUGAGGUAAAGGCUCACCAAGGCGACGAUCAGUAGCUGGUCUGAGAGGACGAUCAGCCACACUGGGACUGAGACACGGCCCAGACUCCUACGGGAGGCAGCAGUGGGGAAUUUUGGACAAUGGGGGCAACCCUGAUCCAGCAAUGCCGCGUGUGUGAAGAAGGCCUUCGGGUUGUAAAGCACUUUUGUCCGGAAAGAAAUCGCACUUACUAAUAUUAGGUGUGGAUGACGGUACCGGAAGAAUAAGGACCGGCUAACUACGUGCCAGCAGCCGCGGUAAUACGUAGGGUCCAAGCGUUAAUCGGAAUUACUGGGCGUAAAGCGUGCGCAGGCGGUUGUGCAAGACCGAUGUGAAAUCCCCGGGCUUAACCUGGGAAUUGCAUUGGUGACUGCACGGCUAGAGUGUGUCAGAGGGGGGUAGAAUUCCACGUGUAGCAGUGAAAUGCGUAGAGAUGUGGAGGAAUACCGAUGGCGAAGGCAGCCCCCUGGGAUAACACUGACGCUCAUGCACGAAAGCGUGGGGAGCAAACAGGAUUAGAUACCCCCGUAGUCC